UUAGAUAAUGCCAUCUUUGUAGGCCUGGCAAGGCGCUUUCAUUUUUCACCUCGUGUAGAAAAAUAUUUUUCUAAGCUAUAUUUCUUACUUUGCAUUUAGGACGAGACUAGUGCUUUGUUGAAGUUGUAGAACUUAUUAGGCCUGCGCAAGCCAUUUUGAAGAAAUCGUUUUGUGGAUCAGUUAGCGGGGGACCGUGCGCAGUUUUCGUUAAGAAUCACGUUUGAACUGUCGUCGUCCGGUGUUGACGCCACAGAUCCCCGUCCCAGCGAACAAAGGAACAGUAAGGCCGAUGCACGCUUGUUAGCCCUGCCCGGGGGAAACAUUAUUUAUGAAAUAAUUUAAAAUUAAACCCACGCAAUUUUGUCAUAGUACUUUUACUUGAGACGUCUUUGUUUCAAAUAAAACAAACCAAUUAGCCUGACUCAUUCAGUCAUAUUAGCAGCAUCGGCUAGGGUUAGCCGCAAUUGUGGACAAGUAGCGAGCUAACGGCUAACUUCGGCAUUGUAUUGAGUCAAACAAGUUUUCUUUUUGGGGAAAAUGGCCGAAGUAUAUAUUCGAGUAGCAGAGGAGGAGAAUGAAGAACCCAUGGAGAUCCCGUCCGAGGAUGACGGUACUGUUCUGCUUUCAACUGUGGCAGCUCAGUUUCCAGGAGCGUGCGGCCUGCGGUUCAGGAGCCCCGUGUCUCAGUGCAUGCGGGGAGUACGUCUUGUGGAAGGGGUCCUGCACGCACCAGAAAACGGAUGGGGCAAUAUCGUGUAUGUUGUGAACUAUCCAAAAGACAACAAAAGGAAAAUGGAUGAAAUAGAUGCCUCCUCUGCUGUGAAAAUGAAGAGAGGGGAUAUGAAGACAUCUGACCUAAUUGUACUGGGUCUACCUUGGAAAACAACUGAGCAAGACUUGAAGGAUUAUUUCAGUACAUUUGGAGAAGUCAUCAUGGUUCAGGUAAAACGAGACGCUAAGACUGGCAACUCUAAAGGAUUUGGCUUUGUGAGGUUCACUGAGUAUGAGGCUCAAGAAAAGGUGAUUUCCCAACGCCAUAUGAUUGACGGGAGAUGGUGUGACUGCAAGCUCCCUAACUCGAAGGUGAAUAUGCAAGGUCCAGAUGAGCCACUGAGGAGCCGCAAAGUUUUUGUAGGCCGUUGCACAGAAGACAUGACCACAGACGACCUACGGCAGUUCUUUAUGCAGUACGGAGAAGUCACAGAUGUCUUCAUUCCCAAGCCAUUCCGUGCUUUUGCCUUUGUCACAUUUGCAGAUGAUCAGGUUGCCCAGUCUCUCUGUGGAGAGGACUUAAUUAUCAAAGGUGUCAGCGUUCAUAUCUCAAAUGCUGAACCCAAACACGGCAAUAGGCAGUUUGACCGUACAGCACGGUUUGGGAAUGGUUUUGGAGCGCAAGCAUUUGGUAGCAGCCGUAGUGGGUUAGGGAGCAGCACUAACAGUAGUCUGGCUAAUUUUGGCUCCUUCAGUCUGAACCCUGCUAUGAUGGCUGCUGCUCAGGCUGCUCUGCAGAGUAGUUGGGGGAUGAUGGGUAUGCUGGCAAGCCAGCAGCAGACAUCCACCUCAGGCAGCACCUCCAGUGGAACAAGCUCUAGUAGGGACCAGAGUCAGUCUUUCAGUACAGGCAACAGCAACUACGGCACCAGCUCAGCCAGUCUUGGCUGGGGAACAGGGUCAAACUCUACAACCAGCGGUAGUGGGUUUAGCUCAGGUUUUGGGUCCAGUAUGGAGUCAAAGUCAUCUGGGUGGGGUAUGUAAGUUAAGUGUUUGUAUGGUAAGUAUUGUGAGAAAGAUGAGUCUUUUCAAAAUUUAUUUCUGGUGUUAAUGCGUAUCUGAAAACUUAACACUUUUUGUGGAAGAUGUUUUGUACAUUUGGAAAAAAUGCUAAAGAUUUAAUUUAGAAAGUGUUGAAGUGAAUUGUUUACCAGGAUGUCCGACUAAAGUGCUAUUUUUGAUGUCUCAUUUGUUUGUAUCCAUUUCAACUGGAUUCUCUAAUGCAUGUAUUGUGAAAUGUGAUUAUAACCAUUUUGAAAAUGCAUGAAUGUUUGUGAUUCACCAUUAUCUGGAUUUGUCAUCAACCUAAAAGGCAAUCUUGCAUUGGGAAGAAUCUGGUUGAAACCUAAAUGUUUUAAGUGCAACUUUAUUUGCAGUCAAGUUCUGUGGAAAAGCCUUCAUUGAAAUCUCUUCUGCAGUUCACCUCUCUUCCAUUUUCCUGUGAGGAAGCUCCUCUUUGGCAGCAUUCUUGGGGUGAUAUCGGUAUCAUUCUCCCUCUUCCCACCUGUAAAUGCUAUGCCAUCAAAGAACGGCUUCACUCCGCAUGUUCUAAGAGACGGGACCUUGGGCUCUGCUGGUCGAGGUCUCCGUUUGAACCCUGACUGAAGUCUGUUCUGAAGGAUGAAGACGGAAGUUCCAACACUUUCAGUGUGUGGCCUUCUCAGACAUGACAUGGGGUAGUACCUGUCUUUUUGCUGCUUUUAAUGGCUUGUCAGAGUGAAUUAUCCUUUAUAUUUUUCACAGAUACAUUUAAGGUUAGAUGGAAGUUAUUGGGGGGGGUCUUUGUCUUUCUUUUAACCUUAAACAGAUAAACUCAGCAAUGUGGCAUCACCUCUCUGAACGAUGUUUGUCCCCAAUGUGGCUGAAGGAAUAAUGACACAUUGCUGAAUUGGUGAUGGGGAUUUGUAGAUGAGUUUGUACGUUAUGGGUAAUUCGCCAGACAGUCUGAACAGUCUCAAGUUGUCCCUAAGUGCAAAUCAACAUAUCAAUAAUUCUUACACUUUAAAGGAGAAACACGUUAAGUAGAAAACUAACAGUUUAAACCACUUAAAUGCAAGAUUAAGUCAUCUUUAGAGUCUGUGUAGUAAGUAAGUGCCACUUUGGCAAUGCUUAAAAAAUUGUUUAUCAGUUGUUUAGCACUGGUCAUUUGGUCAUUUUCACCAGUGCCAAAUGUACUAUUAUCUGACAUUUCAUAAGCUGGUCCCUGAAUAGAUAAGUUAUUUGUCUAAAUGUUCAGAAAGUUUUGAUGGAAUUACUGUAAUUGUAAGAAAAAUUACAGCUGAAACAAACCCAUAAAAGAAUGACAUUGGCACUUUUGAUGACACUUAACAAAUUGUCAUGUAUUAGUCAGCUUUCAUGUUUAUUUGAAUGUUGGGCACAAGUGAGACACUGCAGGUCUGCCUGUGUCUUGUCCUUAUUCUCUGCUUUCCUCCUCAGUUUCUCUGCUCUUCCUCUUCCCAGUAUUCUUCUUUUUCAAAUCCUUCUGCUCCUGGUUUAGUUCUUCACUUUUAUUUUGUAUGUAGAUGGACUGAAAUGAAUAAAGAGAAAUUAAACAUUAA